ACCCUCUCGUAUAGGAGGACAGUUGGCUGUCCUCAUAAAAAUAAACCCUAUAAAACCUUUUCUCAGCAUGUUUUAAUACCCAAAAAGUGGUUUUCUCAAAAGUCCUUAUGUACCAAAAACCUGACAUAUUUUGUAUAUUUGUGUGUCCGCCACUGCCCCCUAUCGGUGGUCGUGGUCCCUGCAUGCUGCGACACACAAGCGCGGGAAAUUAUACACAACGCGGGAAAUUAUACACAACGCGCGAAAUUAGACGCUAAAUCAACACUGCGCAUGCUCAUACUGAUUGGCUGGAUAGAAGACAGCUGCUACACCUGUGAUCACCAGAUUCAUUUGCUGGGAGUUCUUCUGGAAAUGCACGUUGUGGAGAGAAGUAACUUCUGUCAUGCCAUGGAGAACUACUCCUCUUCAGGAUGCCACUAAUCACAUCCUUGCAGGAAGAGACAAGAAUUCAAUGUUAGAGAUCAAAUAUAUUAAUCCAGUUAAAGGUCGUGGUAUCUUCACUUUAGCUGUUUUCAAUCAAGGAGACUUUGUGGUGGAGUAUAGAGGGGAGCUCAUUGAUGCAGCUGAAGCUGAACAUAGACGUAAACUGUACCACAAUGCAUGUUCGAUCUUCAUGUUUGACUUCACAUGGAAGCGGAAGACAUGGUGUAUUGAUGGAGCACUUGAAGAUGGGUCAUUUGGACGACUGGUAAACGAUGAGCACAAGGCACCAAAUUGCAGAAUGAAGUUGAUCGAAGCAGAUGGGAAGCCACAUCUCUGCCUUUUUGCACUGAAGGAAAUUAUGGCUGGAACUGAAAUCACUUAUGACUAUGGUGGGAAAGAAUGGCCCUGGCGUAAAGAGACACAACUCAGUGGUGGAAGUUUCCCUUCUGGCCAACACUCCGUUGCAGAGCUUAGUGACCACGCCCAUGACUUGGAACCCAAUGUUUUCUCUACAGACUUAUUCAGAGACACCGAAUUGAGAGCAGAGUGUCAGUCAUCCACUCCCACACCAGACAACCCUGCGCAUGAGGUGCACUGUGUCAGAGGUCAGUGUGGCACUUCUUCUGCGAAAGAGGGGAUUGGAGAAGUUGGUGUCCAGCACCAGGAGGUGUUAUCCCCUGUGUUCUCAGCAGAGCUUGCCAGUGAGACUGAAUCAAGAUCAGGGUGUCAAUCAUCCAGAGCCGCGCCAAAUGACUCUGCUUGUGAGGUGCACUGUGUCAGAGGUCAGUGUGGCACUUCUUCUGCGAAAGAGGGGAUUGGAGAAGUUGGUGUCCAGCACCAGGAGGUGUUAUCCCCUGUGUUCUCAGCAGAGCUUGCCAGUGAGACCGAAUCAAGAUCAGGGUGUCAAUCAUCCAGAGCUAUGCCAAAUGACACUGCUUGUGAGCGAAAUAGUGGAAGCUUCCCUUCUGGCCAACACUCCGUUGCAGAGCUUAGUGACCACGCCCAUGACUUGGAACCCAAUGUUUUCUCUACAGACUUAUUCAGAGACACCGAAUUGAGAGCAGAGUGUCAGUCAUCCACUCCCACACCAGACAACCUUGCGCAUGAGGUGCACUGUGUCAGAGGUCAGUGUGGCACUUCUUCUGCGAAAGAGGGGAUUGGAGAAGUUGGUGUCCAGCACCAGGAGGUGUUAUCCCCUGUGUUCUCAGCAGAGCUUGCCAGUGAGACUGAAUCAAGAUCAGGGUGUCAAUCAUCCAGAGCCACACCAAAUGACUCUGCUUGUGAGGUGCACUGUGUCAGAGGUCAGUGUGGCACUUCUCCAAUCCCCUCUUUCACAGAAGAAGUUGGUGUCCAGCACCAGGAGGUGUUAUCCCCUGUGUUCUCAGCAGAGCUUGCCAGUGAGACCGAAUCAAGAUCAGGGUGUCAAUCAUCCAGAGCUGUGCCAAAUGACUCUGCUUGUGAGUGUACAAUCCAUAAGCUGGUUUUUGAAUCGUUGAGAAUUGACAAAUGCUGGAUAUGCCAUUCACCUUUCACAUCUAUCAGAUGGCACGGUGUAAGAUGCAAACAAUGCUGUGGUGUGUGGCACAAAAUCUGCCUCCAGAAGUCCUCAGAAGACUGGGAUAUAUCAGAUGAUGAUGUCUCAUCUGGUGAUGAGUACAUCCCAGAGUCUGUAUCGGAUUCAGAAAGCUCAGGAACAGAGUUGAGUGCCGAGUUGGCUGAACCAUCCAAGAAGUCCCAUACCAAUAUGCCUGAUUUAGUUACUUUUGCUCACCCAGAACCAGAAAGCUCUGAGUCUGUAUCGGAUUCAGAAAGCUCAGGAACAGAGUUGAGUGUCAAGUUGCCUGAACCAUCCAAGAAGUCCCAUACCAAUAUGCCUGAUUUAGUUACUUUUGCUGAACCAGACCCCGAACCAGAACCAGAAAGCACUGUGGAUAUUCUUGGCCAAAGUAAAUCCCCAACCAAAUCAGGAAAAUUCCUUAAAAGCCAAGUCAAUUAUUGUUUUGUAUGUGGGAAACCUCAAACAAAAUUUGCACGUCAUCUCGAGAAGCAUGUAAAUGAAAAUGCUGAAAUCGCACAGGCACUCCAGUUCCCCAAAUCAUCAAAGGACAGAAGGGUUCUUCUUGAGAAAUUCCGAAACCUUGGCAACUUCAAGCAUAACUCGACUGUUAAAACCACAGGGUCAGGCUGUCUUAAAGUGAAAAGGAGUUCCAAACAGAGUAGCAGCCCUGAGACAUAUGAUUACUGCUUGUACUGUAAGGGUAUGUUAUCCAGAAAAUAACUUUCUCGACAUAUGAAAAGAUGUGCUCUAAGACCCGAGAAUAAUGUUGAAGAGGGACCUGAGUGGACAGAGAGGGUCAUUGGUAUAGCAUCUGCUCAAUUUACAAUGUCCCAGCCAAUUUCAAGUGAACUUUGGUCAGUGCUGGGCAAAAUGCACAAGGAUGACGUGUCCACUGCAAUAAGGAAUGAUCAUUAUCUCAUGCAGUUUGCCCAGUCCCUCUUUAAUAAGCAUGGGAGUGACAGAUCAAAGCAUGAGUAUAUAAGACAGAAAGUAAGGGAACUUGGGAGAUUACUUGUGACUUUGCGCCACACAACUAGAAUCCAUAACAUGGAAGAGGCAAUAAAACCAGGCAACUUCUUUACUCUUACUGGUGCUGUUAAGAGAGUUUCAGGUUUUGAUCACCAACACAACACAUUCAAAGCCCCAAGUCUGGCUCUUAAAAUUGGGCAUUCUCUCAGAAAGAUAAGUGACCUCAUCAUGUGUCGUGCCCUAAUGGAAGAGGACCAAGAGGGGGUCGAUUCCAUCAAGAGGUUUCAUACACUUCAUGAAACAAAGUGGUCUGAAUUAGUUUCCCAUUCUGCCUUAUCAAACCUGAGUGAGGCAAAAUACAAUAAGAGCACCAGGCUUCCACUGGCCAAAGACGUUCAGAAGCUGCAGUUAUAUCUUGGUCAGCAAGUGGAAUUGGCUAAGGAGAAACUAGCCGAUAACCCAACAGCAGGCACUUAUGCAGCACUAGCAAAGGUGACCCUCUGUCAAGUCAUUUUGUUUAAUAGGAGAAGGGAAGGUGAAGUGGCAAGGAUGACUGUAAACAAUUUUGAAGAUCGUGAUGUGUCACAACUAAAUGAUGACAUAAGCACUGGGCUUACAGAAGUUGAGAAGAGACUUUGCAAACAAUUCGCCAGAGUGGAAUUGAGGGGGAAAAAAGGACGAAAGGUUGCUGUGAUCCUGACCCCUGAUAUGACUGCUAACCUGUCACUCCUCAUUAGUAAGAGGAAAGAGUGUGGAGUAACUGAAAACAACAAUUACCUCUUCGCUAUUCCUUGUAGUGAUGGUCAUUACAGAGGACAGUUUGGUCAAUUUGCAGAUGCUUGUGGAGCCGAAGAUCCUCAAAACCUCAGAUCAACUAACCUUCGCAAACAGAUCGCCACAAUAAGCCAAGUCAUGAACUUGAAAGAUAAUGAACUGGACCAGCUGGCCGACUUUCUCGGCCAUGACAUUAGGGUGCAUAGGGAGUACUAUCGACUGCCCCAAUCAACGAUUCAGCUGGCUAAGAUCUCAAAGCUGCUUAUGGCUAUGGAGAAGGGAAGUGUGAAGGAAAGGAAGGAUUCAAGGAAAAUCUCUGGAUGAAAUUGGUGGUAUGAAUCAUUUACACAUUGUUAAAUCUGCUUGGUGUGUAUGGUUGCUGUAAUAACCUUUUUACAAUGUCAUUUAAUAGAUGACAUAGACAAAAUGGAUACAGGAUCACAGCAACUCCCUAAUGUUUCCACAUUGCAAGACAAUGAAGAAAUGUUGACUUCUGGGACUUUUGGAUCACCUCAUCUCUCCGAGACUGCAGCUCAAGAUGACCAGGGGAACUCUGCCUGUGUAACUUCUGGUUCACCUCAUCUCCCUGACUCCGUUACUCAAGGUUUCUGUGUUUCAUCAAGGUGGUGUAUGAAGAGACCAUGGUCUGAGGAGGAGAUACAAGCGGUGAUGAAACAUCUAAGGCCUUUUGUUGAAAACGGUGUCACUGCCACCAGCGGGCAGUGCCUGGAGUGCAAGGAAAAGGAACACCCUAUCUUGGAGACCAGAUCCAUUCAAAACAUUAGAGAUUUUGUCCGCAACAGAGGCUUGGCCUUUAAAAGGCAUUCAAAUGCUAAACGCUAAAUGCUCUUUUGGAUAGCUUGAGCCUUUACCUUUCUAGGCAUGUUUUACAAGUUGGUGUCCUGUGUUCAGAAAUGGGUUAGGUCACUUCAUUUAUUUUGCUCACAGGCAGUUUUUUGUUUUGUUUGUUUUGCUUUGUGGUUAGCCUGGGCCUUUUAAUGUCAGGAUUCACUUUUAUUUUCCUUUAUUAUUUUUUAAAAUGCUGUCCUUGUUAAGGAAGGAAGAGAUUCUUGAGGUGACCAAAUCAAAUAUAGUUCAGUGAUUCAA